GAUGAACGCUAGCGGCAGGCCUAAUACAUGCAAGUCGAACGGUGUCUUCGGACAUAGUGGCGCACGGGUGCGUAACACGUAUGCAACCUACCUUACAUUGGGGGAUAGCCUUUCGAAAGGGAGAUUAAUACCGCAUAAGACAGUAGCUGGGCAUCCAGCAGCUGUUAAAGAUUUAUCGAUGUAAGCUGGGCAUGCGUCCAAUUAGCUAGUCGGUGAGGUAACGGCUCACCAAGGCAAUGAUUGGUAGGGGAACUGAGAGGUCAAUCCCCAACACUGGCACUGAGAUACGGGCCAGACUCCUACGGGAGGCAGCAGUAGGGAAUAUUGGGCAAUGGACGCAAGUCUGACCCAGCCAUGCCGCGUGCAAGAUGAAGGCGUUAUGCGUUGUAAACUGCUUUUAUACAGGAAGAAACGACUCUUGCGAGAGGCAUUGACGGUACUGUAUGAAUAAGCACCGGCUAACUCCGUGCCAGCAGCCGCAGUAAGAC
rnacentral:rRNA from 1 species